rnacentral:rRNA from 1 species
AGAGUUUGAUCCUGGCUCAGAACGAACGCUGGCGGCGUGGAUAAGACAUGCAAGUCGAACGAGAGAAUUGCUAGCUUGUUAAUAAUUCUCUAGUGGCGCACGGGUGAGUAACACGUGAGUAACCUGCCCCCGAGAGCGGGAUAGCCCUGGGAAACUGGGAUUAAUACCGCAUAGUAUCGAAAGAUUAAAGCAGCAAUGCGCUUGGGGAUGGGCUCGCGGCCUAUUAGUUAGUUGGUGAGGUAACGGCUCACCAAGGCGAUGACGGGUAGCCGGUCUGAGAGGAUGUCCGGCCACACUGGAACUGAGACACGGUCCAGACACCUACGGGUGGCAGCAGUCGAGAAUCAUUCACAAUGGGGGAAACCCUGAUGGUGCGACGCCGCGUGGGGGAAUGAAGGUCUUCGGAUUGUAAACCCCUGUCAUGUGGGAGCAAAUUAAAAAGAUAGUACCACAAGAGGAAGAGACGGCUAACUCUGUGCCAGCAGCCGCGGUAAUACAGAGGUCUCAAGCGUUGUUCGGAAUCACUGGGCGUAAAGCGUGCGUAGGCUGUUUCGUAAGUCGUGUGUGAAAGGCGCGGGCUCAACCCGCGGACGGCACAUGAUACUGCGAGACUAGAGUAAUGGAGGGGGAACCGGAAUUCUCGGUGUAGCAGUGAAAUGCGUAGAUAUCGAGAGGAACACUCGUGGCGAAGGCGGGUUCCUGGACAUUAACUGACGCUGAGGCACGAAGGCCAGGGGAGCGAAAGGGAUUAGAUACCCCUGUAGUCCUGGCAGUAAACGAUGAAUGCUAGGUGUCGGGGAGCAAAGCUCUUCGGUGCCGCCGCAAAGCCAUUAAGCAUUCCACCUGGGGAGUACGUUCGCAAGAAUGAAACUCAAAGGAAUUGACGGGGACCCGCACAAGCGGUGGAGUAUGUGGCUUAAUUCGAUGCAACGCGAAGAACCUUACCUGGGCUUGACAUGUAAUGAACAACAUGUGAAAGCAUGCGACUCUUCGGAGGCGUUACACAGGUGCUGCAUGGCCGUCGUCAGCUCGUGUCGUGAGAUGUUUGGUUAAGUCCAGCAACGAGCGCAACCCUUAUGGUCAGUUACUACGCAAGAGGACUCUGGCCAGACUGCCGUUGACAAAACGGAGGAAGGUGGGGAUGACGUCAAAUCAUCAUGCCCUUUAUGACUUGGGCUACACACGUACUACAAUGGCGUUAAACAAAGAGAAGCAAGACCGCGAGGUGGAGCAAAACUCAGAAACAACGUCCCAGUUCGGACUGCAGGCUGCAACUCGCCUGCACGAAGUCGGAAUUGCUAGUAAUCGUGGAUCAGCAUGCCACGGUGAAUACGUUCCCGGGCCUUGUACUCAAAGCCCGUCA